AUUAAAGGGCCGCGGUAUUUUAACCGUGCAAAGGUAGCAUAAUCAUUAGGUUUUUAAUUAGAAUCUUGUAUGAAUGGUUCGACAAAAGAAGUACUGUCUUUAUAUUAAAUUUUGAAUUUAACUUUUAAGUGAAAAGGCUUAAAUAUAUUAAAGGGACGAUAAGACCCUAUAAAACUUUACAUUGUAAUUUUAUUUAAUUAAAUUUGUGAAAUAAAGAUUUAAUUUAAUUAUAUGUUAUGUUGGGGAGACAAAGGUAAAAUAAAUUUUAACUGCUUUAUGUUAAAACAUAAAUUUAUGGAUAUUAAAAGAUCCUUUAUAAAGAUUAAAAGAUUAAGUUACUUUAGGGAUAACAGCGUUAUUUUUUUUGAGAGUUCCUAUCGAAAAGAGAGUUUGCGACCUCGAUGUUGAAUUAAAAUAUCUUUAUAGUGCAGAAGCUAUAAAAGAAGGUCUGUUCGACCUUUAAAUUUUUACAUGAUUUGAGUUCA
rnacentral:rRNA from 1 species